UGGGGAAUAUUGCACAAUGGGCGCAAGCCUGAUGCAGCCAUGCCGCGUGUGUGAAGAAGGCCUUCGGGUUGUAAAGCACUUUCAGCGGGGAGGAAGGCGGUGAGGUUAAUAACCUCAUCGAUUGACGUUACCCGCAGAAGAAGCACCGGCUAACUCCGUGCCAGCAGCCGCGGUAAUACGGAGGGUGCAAGCGUUAAUCGGAAUUACUGGGCGUAAAGCGCACGCAGGCGGUCUGUCAAGUCGGAUGUGAAAUCCCCGGGCUCAACCUGGGAACUGCAUUCGAAACUGGCAGGCUAGAGUCUUGUAGAGGGGGGUAGAAUUCCAGGUGUAGCGGUGAAAUGCGUAGAUAUAUGGAGGAACACCAGUGGCGAAGGCGGCUCUCUGGUCUGUAACUGACGCUGAGGCUCGAAAGCGUGGGGAGCAAACAGG
rnacentral:rRNA from 1 species